rnacentral:rRNA from 1 species
GUGGGGAAUAUUGGACAAUGGGGGAAACCCUGAUCCAGCCAUGCCGCGUGUGUGAAGAAGGCCUUCGGGUUGUAAAGCACUUUAAGCAGGGAGGAAAGGGUGUUGGCUAAUAUCCAGCAUCAUUGACGUUACCUGCAGAAUAAGCACCGGCUAACUUCGUGCCAGCAGCCGCGGUAAUACGAAGGGUGCAAGCGUUAAUCGGAAUUACUGGGCGUAAAGCGCGCGUAGGUGGUUUUGUAAGUUGGAGGUGAAAUCCCCGGGCUCAACCUGGGAACUGCCUCCAAAACUGCAUGACUAGAGUACGGUAGAGGGUAGUGGAAUUUCCUGUGUAGCGGUGAAAUGCGUAGAUAUAGGAAGGAACACCAGUGGCGAAGGCGACUACCUGGACUGAUACUGACACUGAGGUGCGAAAGCGUGGGGAGCAAACAGGAUUAGAAACCCUGGUAGUCC